AUUGUAUGUUUUCAGCUCCGCUGGUAAAAACCCACAAAAAAAUAUAAAAAUGUGUAGAAUGCAAUAUAAUUUACCUGACACGAAUACUGCAUUACUGUUGUGAUCCUUUACUGUUGUUUAUACAUUGACACAAAAUACACAAUCCUGUAAUAUUUUUUGAGGACAAAGUUAAUUUGCCAUGAGCCUUUUUGUGGAAGACAUUUUUGCAGGUAUUUGAAGAAAAUGCACAGGUGCCACUGAUAGAAUGACCGAUAGCUGAAUUCCUUUAUUGCAUGCCGCCUCACUGUCACACCGAUUGCUUUACUGGGGCACAUGAAGAGAACAAAGUCAAUGUUUAUGUUAUUUGUAACAAUUGUGCUUUUCCUGCUCUAGGACGAGUCGGUUGUGAAGAAGACCUCAAAGGCGUUUCUCAUUUACAUUCAUGAGGCUGACAGAACAACAACAUCCUAUAAUGCAGUCUAAUACAGCACCGCCAGAGACUAAAUACUCGGAACAUUACAUUCUUUGCAGAAACAAGGUUUAUUGCAUUAGAUUGUACAUAUUUGUCUAAUCUAACUGUGAAUAUAUGCGGUUAUAUGUGCUGUUGUCUGAAAGCACAGACCAGCAGACACAAUUAUCCAAUAUCUUGCUGCUACAACCAGCAAGGUAAUGAAAUCUGCUCGACAAGGUUCACAAAUCACCACUGCCUCUUUGAGGGAAGAAGUCGGAUUUUCUGGGGGAUUUUAACAUAAUUUAGAUUUGUGGGUGUUUAUAGGAGGGUAAUCAGUGACAUGUGCCUGACCGGGGCCCCGUAAACCCCAUUCCUCCAACCCAGAGCACAGAGGUGUAUGAGUUGUGGCUCUCGGUGUCUUUUCCUUGUGUUUAAAGCGCAAACAUCAAUGCAGCUUAUUUUACAGAUCAAAUCCUCUCUAUCUGUUGCACUUAUAAAUAAUCUAACUACAUACUGGUAUACUUGUGUGAAAUAUCUACCACAGUAAUCCGCUCUUAGAUUAUAAAGCAAUGUAGCAGGCCAUAAACCCAAUUCAACUUUAGUGUUGGUCAAUGUUUAGAGAGAGUUGGGGUUUCAUUUUUGUGUUAUGAUUAUGCAACUUUUUAGAUAUUUGGAGGACUACAUUGCUGGUAGAUUUGAUAAAAAAACCCAGAUAAACUAGUGGUUAAAAAUACAAUUUUAAAUAAGAAAUACAUGUAAAUAUAUCUCUAUGACGCCCCACAUAAGAAAUGCAAAUAUAUUGAAUGAAAGCCAACAGCCUCACUUCUCCAGAGGCAGCAAUUAUAAGAUAAUUCCAUAUUCAAAAGUCUGGACCAAAGUGAUCUUGGGCCCCGGCACCAAAAUCCACUGAGGUUUUAAUAAUUUAUACUAAGAAAAAAAUAAGCUGAAAGCCACAUUUUGACUAAUUUCAUCUCUCAGUGUAAAUUCACCCACUGACAGAAUGUCCACUGAAGGAAUAGUUUGGUAGGCUCAGUAUAAAUCAUACAAUAAAUCAGAGAUGACUUUCAAUCCUAGAUGUUUGAGUUUAGAUAUUGAAAUUGUUGCCGCCGUAUUUUCCUCGCAGCCGUUGUCUUCCACUCAGCAAUGCGUGUUGAUACCAAACAACACAACAUUAGAAUAAAGGAGAUCCAACGCAGGGUCAUCCACCAACUGGUUCAAACGAACAAUAUGAGGAUUAAAAAUGAUUUACUUUUGUUCGUGGCACAUACCCUUCAUAUCAUUAUUAAUGUGGUGUUUCAUCAAUAUUACGAUGAAUGGUAAUUGUAAAC
ensembl:lncRNA